rnacentral:lncRNA from 1 species
CGAGAAGAGAAAAGAAGCUGGCGCUUCCAGUUCCCACCCUCAAGGCAAAAUUAUGACGGUCAAAAUCAUCGAUCCUGCAGUCCUUCGAGAAAGAUUCGGCAACCAUCACUUCCUCAGCUGUAUGAUAGCUACACGCCUCUAAAUAUUCCUUGAAGGGAGAUGUUGUUACAAGUGAGGCCUAAGUUACCUGAGCCUCGACUUAUGAGAACG